rnacentral:rRNA from 1 species
GGGUUGUGAGGUUAAGCGACUAAGCGUACACGGUGGAUGCCCUGGCAGUCAGAGGCGAUGAAGGGCGUGCUAAUCUGCGAUAAGCGCCGGUAAGGUGAUAUGAACCGUUAUAACCGGCGAUACCCGAAUGGGGAAACCCAGUGUGAUUCGUCACACUAUCAUUAACUGAAUCCAUAGGUUAAUGAGGCGAACCGGGGGAACUGAAACAUCUAAGUACCCCGAGGAAAAGAAAUCAACCGAGAUUCCCCCAGUAGCGGCGAGCGAACGGGGAGGAGCCCAGAGCCUGAAUCAGCAUGUGUGUUAGUGGAAGCGUCUGGAAAGGCGCGCGAUACAGGGUGACAGCCCCGUACACAAAAGCGCAUGUGUUGUGAGCUCGAUGAGUAGGGCGGGACACGUGGUAUCCUGUCUGAAUAUGGGGGGACCAUCCUCCAAGGCUAAAUACUCCUGACUGACCGAUAGUGAACCAGUACCGUGAGGGAAAGGCGAAAAGAACCCCGGCGAGGGGAGUGAAAAAGAACCUGAAACCGUGUACGUACAAGCAGUGGGAGCACAGGUUUACCUGUGUGACUGCGUACCUUUUGUAUAAUGGGUCAGCGACUUAUAUUCUGUAGCAAGGUUAACCGAAUAGGGGAGCCGGAGGGAAACCGAGUCUUAAUUGGGCGUUAAGUUGCAGGGUAUAGACCCGAAACCCGGUGAUCUAGCCAUGGGCAGGUUGAAGGUUGGGUAACACUAACUGGAGGACCGAACCGACUAAUGUUGAAAAAUUAGCGGAUGACCUGUGGCUGGGGGUGAAAGGCCAAUCAAACCGGGAGAUAGCUGGUUCUCCCCGAAAGCUAUUUAGGUAGCGCCUCGUGAAUUCAUCUCCGGGGGUAGAGCACUGUUUCGGCUAGGGGGCCAUCCCGGCUUACCAACCCGAUGCAAACUGCGAAUACCGGAGAAUGUUAUCACGGGAGACACACGGCGGGUGCUAACGUCCGUCGUGAAGAGGGAAACAACCCAGACCGCCAGCUAAGGUCCCAAAGUCAUGGUUAAGUGGGAAACGAUGUGGGAAGGCCCAGACAGCCAGGAUGUUGGCUUAGAAGCAGCCAUCAUUUAAAGAAAGCGUAAUAGCUCACUGGUCGAGUCGGCCUGCGCGGAAGAUGUAACGGGGCUAAACCAUGCACCGAAGCUGCGGCAGCGA